rnacentral:rRNA from 1 species
CCAUCAUUUAAAGAAAGCGUAAUAGCUCACUGGUCGAGUCGGCCUGCGCGGAAGAUGUAACGGGGCUAAACCAUGCACCGAAGCUGCGGCAGCGACGCUUAUGCGUUGUUGGGUAGGGGAGCGUUCUGUAAGCCUGCGAAGGUGUGCUGUGAGGCAUGCUGGAGGUAUCAGAAGUGCGAAUGCUGACAUAAGUAACGAUAAAGCGGGUGAAAAGCCCGCUCGCCGGAAGACCAAGGGUUCCUGUCCAACGUUAAUCGGGGCAGGGUGAGUCGACCCCUAAGGCGAGGCCGAAAGGCGUAGUCGAUGGGAAACAGGUUAAUAUUCCUGUACUUGGUGUUACUGCGAAGGGGGGACGGAGAAGGCUAUGUUGGCCGGGCGACGGUUGUCCCGGUUUAAGCGUGUAGGCUGGUUUUCCAGGCAAAUCCGGAAAAUCAAGGCUGAGGCGUGAUGACGAGGCACUACGGUGCUGAAGCAACAAAUGCCCUGCUUCCAGGAAAAGCCUCUAAGCAUCAGGUAACAUCAAAUCGUACCCCAAACCGACACAGGUGGUCAGGUAGAGAAUACCAAGGCGCUUGAGAGAACUCGGGUGAAGGAACUAGGCAAAAUGGUGCCGUAACUUCGGGAGAAGGCACGCUGAUAUGUAGGUGAAGUCCCUUGCGGAUGGAGCUGAAAUCAGUCGAAGAUACCAGCUGGCUGCAACUGUUUAUUAAAAACACAGCACUGUGCAAACACGAAAGUGGACGUAUACGGUGUGACGCCUGCCCGGUGCCGGAAGGUUAAUUGAUGGGGUCAGCGCAAGCGAAGCUCUUGAUCGAAGCCCCGGUAAACGGCGGCCGUAACUAUAACGGUCCUAAGGUAGCGAAAUUCCUUGUCGGGUAAGUUCCGACCUGCACGAAUGGCGUAAUGAUGGCCAGGCUGUCUCCACCCGAGACUCAGUGAAAUUGAACUCGCUGUGAAGAUGCAGUGUACCCGCGGCAAGACGGAAAGACCCCGUGAACCUUUACUAUAGCUUGACACUGAACAUUGAGCCUUGAUGUGUAGGAUAGGUGGGAGGCUUUGAAGUGUGGACGCCAGUCUGCAUGGAGCCGGCCUUGAAAUACCACCCUUUAAUGUUUGAUGUUCUAACGUGGACCCGUGAUCCGGGUUGCGGACAGUGUCUGGUGGGUAGUUUGACUGGGGCGGUCUCCUCCUAAAGAGUAACGGAGGAGCACGAAGGUUGGCUAAUCCUGGUCGGACAUCAGGAGGUUAGUGCAAUGGCAUAAGCCAGCUUGACUGCGAGCGUGACGGCGCGAGCAGGUGCGAAAGCAGGUCAUAGUGAUCCGGUGGUUCUGAAUGGAAGGGCCAUCGCUCAACGGAUAAAAGGUACUCCGGGGAUAACAGGCUGAUACCGCCCAAGAGUUCAUAUCGACGGCGGUGUUUGGCACCUCGAUGUCGGCUCAUCACAUCCUGGGGCUGAAGUAGGUCCCAAGGGUAUGGCUGUUCGCCAUUUAAAGUGGUACGCGAGCUGGGUUUAGAACGUCGUGAGACAGUUCGGUCCCUAUCUGCCGUGGGCGCUGGAGAACUGAGGGGGGCUGCUCCUAGUACGAGAGGACCGGAGUGGACGCAUCACUGGUGUUCGGGUUGUCAUGCCAAUGGCACUGCCCGGUAGCUAAAUGCGGAAGAGAUAAGUGCUGAAAGCAUCUAAGCACGAAACUUGCCCCGAGAUGAGUUCUCCCUGACCCUUUAAGGGUCCUGAAGGAACGUUGAAGACGACGACGUUGAUAGGCCGGGUGUGUAAGCGCAGCGAUGCGUUGAGCUAACCGGUACUAAUGAACCGUGAGGCUUAACCUUACAACGCCGAAG